rnacentral:rRNA from 1 species
CUCUAGGGAGACUGCCGGUGACAAACCGGAGGAAGGCGGGGACGACGUCAAGUCAUCAUGGCCCUUACGGCCAGGGCUACACACGUGCUACAAUGGUCGGUACAAAGGGUUGCCAACUCGCGAGAGUGCGCUAAUCUCAAAAAGCCGAUCGUAGUCCGGAUUGGAGUCUGCAACUCGACUCCAUGAAGUCGGAAUCGCUAGUAAUCGCGGAUCAGAAUGCCGCGGUGAAUACGUUCCCGGGCCUU